UACAGAGGUCUCAAGCGUUGUUCGGAUUCAUUGGGCGUAAAGGGUGCGUAGGUGGUGGGGUAAGUCGGAUGUGAAAGCUCGGAGCUCAACUCCGAAAUGGCAUUGGAAACUACCCUGCUAGAGGAUUGGAGGGGGACUGGAAUACUUGGUGUAGCAGUGAAAUGCGUAGAUAUCAAGUGGAACACCAGUGGCGAAGGCGAGUCCCUGGACAAUACCUAACACUGAGGCACGAAAGCUAGGGGAGCAAACAGG
rnacentral:rRNA from 1 species